AGGGGUAUAGUUCAGUGGUAAAGUGCUUGCUUAGCAUGCUUGAGGUCCUGGGUUCAAUUCCCAGUACUUCCA
rnacentral:tRNA from 1 species